GCGUCGGUAGUGCAGUGGUUGAGCACGCGCCUACGAUAGGGUGAAAUGCGGGGUUCGAGUCCCACCUGAUGCA